AGAGUUUGAUCCUGGCUCAGAUUGAACGCUGGCGGCAGGCCUAACACAUGCAAGUCGAGCGGAUGAGUGGAGCUUGCUCCAUGAUUCAGCGGCGGACGGGUGAGUAAUGCCUAGGAAUCUGCCUGGUAGUGGGGGACAACGUUUCGAAAGGAACGCUAAUACCGCAUACGUCCUACGGGAGAAAGCAGGGGACCUUCGGGCCUUGCGCUAUCAGAUGAGCCUAGGUCGGAUUAGCUAGUUGGUGAGGUAAAGGCUCACCAAGGCGACGAUCCGUAACUGGUCUGAGAGGAUGAUCAGUCACACUGGAACUGAGACACGGUCCAGACUCCUACGGGAGGCAGCAGUGGGGAAUAUUGGACAAUGGGCGAAAGCCUGAUCCAGCCAUGCCGCGUGUGUGAAGAAGGUCUUCGGAUUGUAAAGCACUUUAAGUUGGGAGGAAGGGCAGUAAGUUAAUACCUUGCUGUUUUGACGUUACCGGCAGAAUAAGCACCGGCUAACUUCGUGCCAGCAGCCGCGGUAAUACGAAGGGUGCAAGCGUUAAUCGGAAUUACUGGGCGUAAAGCGCGCGUAGGUGGUUCGUUAAGUUGGAUGUGAAAGCCCCGGGCUCAACCUGGGAACUGCAUCCAAAACUGGCGAGCUAGAGUAUGGCAGAGGGUGGUGGAAUUUCCUGUGUAGCGGUGAAAUGCGUAGAUAUAGGAAGGAACACCAGUGGCGAAAGCGACCACCUGGGCUAAUACUGACACUGAGGUGCGAAAGCGUGGGGAGCAAAC
rnacentral:rRNA from 1 species